rnacentral:rRNA from 1 species
CUACGUGCCAGCAGCCGCGGUAAUACGGAAGGUCCAGGCGUUAUCCGGAUUUAUUGGGUUUAAAGGGAGCGUAGGCCGUGGAUUAAGCGUGUUGUGAAAUGUAGACGCUCAACGUCUGAAUUGCAGCGCGAACUGGUUCACUUGAGUAUGCACAACGUAGGCGGAAUUCGUCGUGUAGCGGUGAAAUGCUUAGAUAUGACGAAGAACUCCGAUUGCGAAGGCAGCUUACGGGAGCACAACUGACGCUGAAGCUCGAAGGUGCGGGUAUCAAACAGGAUUAGAUACCCUGGUAGUCCGCACAGUAAACGAUGGAUGCCCGUUGUUAGUUCACCUAAGAAUUAGCGACCAAGCGAAAGCAUUAAGCAUCCCACCUGGGGAGUACGCCGGCAACGGUGGAACUCAAAGGAAUUGACGGGGGCCCGCACAAGCGGAGGAACAUGUGGUUUAAUUCGAUGAUACGCGAGGAACCUUACCCGGGCUUGAAUUGCAGAGGAAUUAUUUAGAGAUA